UGCACUCUGGGAUAAGCCUUGGAAACGGGGUCUAAUACCGGAUAUGACAUGUCACCGCAUGGUGUGCGUGUGGAAAGUUCCGGCGGUGCAGGAUGAGCCCGCGGCCUAUCAGCUUGUUGGUGGGGUAGUGGCCUACCAAGGCGACGACGGGUAGCCGGCCUGAGAGGGUGACCGGCCACACUGGGACUGAGACACGGCCCAGACUCCUACGGGAGGCAGCAGUGGGGAAUCUUGCGCAAUGGGCGAAAGCCUGACGCAGCAACGCCGCGUGGGGGAUGACGGCCUUCGGGUUGUAAACCUCUUUCGACACCGACGAAGCCUUCGGGUGACGGUAGGUGUAGAAGAAGCACCGGCUAACUACGUGCCAGCAGCCGCGGUAAUACGUAGGGUGCGAGCGUUGUCCGGAUUUAUUGGGCGUAAAGAGCUCGUAGGCGGUUUGUCGCGUCGGCCGUGAAAACUCACAGCUUAACUGUGGGCGUGCGGUCGAUACGGGCAGACUUGAGUUCGGCAGGGGAGACUGGAAUUCCUGGUGUAGCGGUGAAAUGCGCAGAUAUCAGGAGGAACACCGGUGGCGAAGGCGGGUCUCUGGGCCGAUACUGACGCUGAGGAGCGAAAGCGUGGGGAGCGAACAGGAUUAGAUACCCCUGGUAGUCCACGCCGUAAACGUUGGGCGCUAGGUGUGGGGACCGGUUCCACGGGUUUCCGUGCCGUAGCUAACGCAUUAAGCGCCCCGCCUGGGGAGUACGGCCGCAAGG
rnacentral:rRNA from 1 species